UACCAGGCAAUCAGCGAGAGGAAUUGUU
rnacentral:sRNA from 1 species